UCGAGGAUAUUUAGCAAUGGACGAAAGCCUGACUAUGUGACGCCGCGUGAGGGAUGAAGGUCUUCGGAUCGUAAACCUCUUUCGAUGGGGAAGAAAACCUGUUCUUAACGGAACAGACUGACGGUACCCAGAGAAGAAGCCACGGCCAACUCUGUGCCAGCAGCCGCGGUAAUCCAGAGGUGGCGAGCGUUACUCGGAUUUAUUGGGUGUAAAGGGCAAGUAGGCGUCUUAACAAGUUGGGGGUGAAAUCCUGGAGCUCAACUGCAGAACUGCUGUCGAAACUGUUGGGAU
rnacentral:rRNA from 1 species